GAAAUAAUGAACUCCUCCAAGGCAAGAAAUCUGUUUUGAAGCUUCUCUGCGUUCACACACAGCAGCCUGGUUUCCUGGAAGGGCAUUUUCCACAUUGUGCGUUAUGGAUGAUCAUCCCAGGCAUCAGGUGUGAAGCCCUGCAUCCACAUCCAGGGGCUAUCAAAUCUCUCUGCAAAAGGAGAAGCUGGACUCAGGGUAUGCACAGAUGUGGAAACAGGAACUGAUGUGUCCAUUACACCACUAGGACAGAGGCCAGAACAAUGAAGAAACCAAAUACUUGGAAGAGGGUAGAGAUAAUGAAUGGAGUCCAAGAGCCCUGAUUGUGCCAUAAAUGUCCAGAUAAUUCCAUACCUGAGGAUUAUGUGGUUUGUAAACUUGGC
rnacentral:lncRNA from 1 species